rnacentral:rRNA from 1 species
AUGGAUCAUUGCGCUGCGCGCACCACCCUAGCCCGCUGCUGCUGCUAUCAAACAUCCUACACGCCACGCCAUCGCCCGCCUACACGCGCGCACCGCUACUCUCCGCCGGCCGCCACCUCCGCUUCUUCCACCCAUCCCGUCAAACGCAGCCUCGAUCACCACCGUUAUCUCCUCUUCCCCUCCUCCUCCCCUGUCCCGUCCAUCACUCGUUCGCUCCUAGUAGCAGCUAGCCCCCUUUCCCAGGUGAACCUGCUUGCUAGCUUCCUGCAACCACCACUGUCAGGUGAACCAGGAGGCAUGGGCGGCGUCGUCAGGUGCGUCAAGAUCCUCGCGCUCCUCUCGCUCGUCCCGCUGGCGCUCAGGGCCGGCUCCCUCCUGGGCCACGUCGUCGCGCCGCCUCCAUCGUCAGCUGCCACCAGGAGCGCCAGCGUCUCCGAUUCGGCGCACGGCAAGACGUCGGAGGGUGCUGCUCUGGCUGCCGCGAGGUUCCGGAGCGGUGCCAGCGUAGGCGGGUUCGGCGACGACAAGAGGAUGGCGCCGUCGGGGUCCAACCCGCUGCACAACCUUCGAUGA